GAUGAACGCUAGCUACAGGCUUAACACAUGCAAGUCGAGGGGUAACGAGAGGAAAGCUUGCUUUCCUUGUCGACGACCGGCGCACGGGUGAGUAACGCGUAUCCAACCUGCCCCCAACUAAGGAAUAACCUUGCGAAAGUAAGACUAAUACCUUAUAAUUUCUUCAGAUGUCAUCUGACGAGGAAUAAAGAUUUAUCGGUUGUGGAUGGGGAUGCGUCUGAUUAGCUUGUUGGCGGGGUAACGGCCCACCAAGGCGACGAUCAGUAGGGGUUCUGAGAGGAAGGUCCCCCACAUUGGAACUGAGACACGGUCCAAACUCCUACGGGAGGCAGCAGUGAGGAAUAUUGGUCAAUGGGCGAAAGCCUGAACCAGCCAAGUAGCGUGCAGGAUGACGGCCCCAUGGGUUGUAAACUGCUUUUAUACAGGAAUAAAGUUAGCCACGUGUGGUUAUUUGUAGGUACUGUAUGAAUAAGGACCGGCUAAUUCCGUGCCAGCAGCCGCGGUAA
rnacentral:rRNA from 1 species